CAGAUUUUAUCCACUGAUCCCAUAACCCUAAUUACUAAAGUGUUCUCCCUUAUCAUUCAAGAAGAGAAGCCAAGAGUUGUUGCAACUCCACCUAUUCCUUCUAUUCAUCCUUUGCAUGUGUCUGUUGUCAAGAAUUCUUCUCCAAACAAAUCGGAGGGUAGCAAGAAAGAUCCCCCCUGUGUGCUCAUUGUGGUUUGCUCAGUCACACUCAAGAUCGUUGUUAUAAG
rnacentral:lncRNA from 1 species